CUCACCUAUGUAUACACUACGUACAGUAAGCAGACUGACUGGUUGGCGAUAUUGUUAGCUAAGUAGCUUAUAUCUUUACUUUUCUAAUAGAAGGCGACAUUAAACCAGGGAAAUUGAACAACGUUCUGCUGGAGAAUUAGUGAUUUUCAAGAGGGUUAUGCACUUUGGUGUUGGAAAGACGCUCAUAGGAAAGUAGGGUAAAAGGUUGAUUUUGCUCCACAUCUUGAAGCUGUGCGGUGUUGUUACACGAAGUCGGCUACUUGCACUUCUGAGACUCAGCCUACGGACUGGGUGUGUCUGGAUGUAAAGAGGAGACAUUCUGUGUCGUCGAUACAAGACGAGCAACCAUGGUGAAACAGAGAUCCCCAGUGUUCCCUCACCCCCCUGUGCAAGUGGUCUCAGCCGGUCUCCAGUGAGGACUCUACCCCUCUCCGUCCUGCGUAAUGGUUUAACCCACACGAGAUCUGGUCACCAUGAUGAUGGCCUCCAUGGUUGCCAACAGAAACAGGGAUGGCAGACAGGGGGAGGCCCUGGUCCUGAAAGGGGUGGACCCAGAGACAUGCAUGAUCGUGUUCAAGAACCACUGGGC